rnacentral:rRNA from 1 species
UACAGAGGUGGCAAGCGUUGUUCGGAAUUACUGGGCGUAAAGGGCGCGUAGGCGGUCAGGUCAGUCCCGUGUGAAAUCCCUCGGCUCAACUGAGGAACUGCACGGGAAACUGCCUGGCUUGAGUUCGGGAGAGGGAAGCGGAAUUCCGGGUGUAGCGGUGAAAUGCGUAGAUAUCCGGAGGAACACCGGUGGCGAAGGCGGCUUCCUGGACCGACACUGACGCUGAGGCGCGAAAGCUAGGGGAGCAAACGGG